CCAGCAGCUGCGGUAAUUCCAGCUCCAAUAGCGUAUAUUUAAGUUGCUGCAGUUAAAAAGCUCGUAGUUGGAUUUCGGGUGGGGCCUACCGGUCCGCCGUUUCGGUGUGCACUGGUCGGGCCCACCUUGUUGUCGGGGACGGGCUCCUGGGCUUCACUGUCCGGGACUCGGAGUCGGCGAAGUUACUUUGAGUAAAUUAGAGUGUUCAAAGCAGGCAUACGCUCUGAAUACAUUAGCAUGAAAUAACACGAUAGGACUCUGGCCUAUCUUGUUGGUCUGUAGGACCGGAGUAAUGAUUAAGAGGGACAGUCGGGGGCAUUCGUAUUUCAUUGUCAGAGGUGAAAUUCUUGGAUUUAUGAAAGACGAACUACUGCGAAAGCAUUUGCCAAGGAUGUUUUCAU
rnacentral:rRNA from 1 species